rnacentral:lncRNA from 1 species
CCUGGCUUCAAAUGAUGCUACUGCCUUGGCCUCCCAAAGCACUGUGAUUACAGACAUGAGCCACAGUGGCAGACCAUAUUAUUUUAUCUGCGAUGAUUAAGAACACCUGUGGCAACACCAAACAGAGCCCACAAACAUCGUGCUGAUGAGCAAGGACUAGGGAAGAAGAUGCUCAAGAAACAUCCAUGAAAACAACCAGGAGGGCUUUGAGAGAAUGCGGAGCUGGAGCUCGGAUCUUCCUUUCUGAAAAGCAUGAGAAAACCCAGAAGGCUCUGUCUUAAGAUAAAAAGACCAGGGACUUUCUAGGGGUCAUAAGGUUAACUUAUAACAGUCUUUGACAUCUGGAAAAUGAAAAGUAAACACCUGCAGUUCUCCAGUAGCAGCUAUAUGUUACAUGACAAAAAUGAGAC